rnacentral:rRNA from 1 species
CAGUCGUGGGGCAGCGCAGGUAGCAAUACUGGGCGGCGACCGGCAAACGGGUGCGGAACACGUACACAACCUUCCGAGAAGUGGGGAAUAGCCCAGAGAAAUUUGGAUUAAUACCCCGUAACAUAACGAUGUGGCAUCACAUUGUUAUUAUAGCUUCGGCGCUUCUUGAUGGGUGUGCGGCUGAUUAGAUAGUUGGCGGGGUAACGGCCCACCAAGUCUACGAUCAGUAGCUGAUGUGAGAGCAUGAUCAGCCACACGGGCACUGAGACACGGGCCCGACUCCUACGGGAGGCAGCAGUAAGGAAUAUUGGUCAAUGGACGCAAGUCUGAACCAGCCAUGCCGCGUGAAGGAUUAAGGUCCUCUGGAUUGUAAACUUCUUUUAUCUGGGACGAAAAAAGGCGAUUCUUCGUCACUUGACGGUACCAGAUGAAUAAGCACUGGCUAACUCCGUGCCAGCAGCCGCGGUAAUACGGAGGGUGCAAGCGUUAUCCGGAUCCACUGGGUUUAAAGGGUGCGUAGGCGGGCAGGUAAGUCAGUGGUGAAAUCCUAGAGCUUAACUCUAGAACUGCCAUUGAUACUAUCUGUCUUGAAUAUUGUGGAGGUAAGCGGAAUAUGUCAUGUAGCGGUGAAAUGCUUAGAUAUGACAUAGAACACCUAUUGCGAAGGCAGCUUACUACGCAUAUAUUGACGCUGAGGCACGAAAGCGUGGGGAUCAAACAGGAUUAGAUACCCUGGUAGUCCACGCCCUAAACGAUGAUUACUCGACAUUUGUAAUACACUAUAAGUGUCUGAGCGAAAGCAUUAAGUAAUCCACCUGGGAAGUACGACCGCAAGGUUGAAACUCAAAGGAAUUGGCNNNNNNNNNNNNNAGCGGUGGAGCAUGUGGUUUAAUUCG